rnacentral:rRNA from 1 species
GAUUGAACGCUGGCGGCAUGCUUUACACAUGCAAGUCGAACGGUAACAGGCCGCAAGGUGCUGACGAGUGGCGAACGGGUGAGUAAUGCAUCGGAACGUGCCCAGUCGUGGGGGAUAACUACUCGAAAGAGUAGCUAAUACCGCAUACGAUCUAUGGAUGAAAGCGGGGGACCGUAAGGCCUCGCGCGAUUGGAGCGGCCGAUGUCAGAUUAGGUAGUUGGUGGGGUAAAGGCUCACCAAGCCAACGAUCUGUAGCUGGUCUGAGGGGACAACCAGCCACACUGGGACUGAGACACGGCCCAGACUCCUACGGGAGGCAGCAGUGGGGAAUUUUGGACAAUGGGCGCAAGCCUGAUCCAGCAAUGCCGCGUGCAGGAAGAAGGCCUUCGGGUUGUAAACUGCUUUUGUACGGAACGAAACGGCUCUGGUUAAUACCCGGGGCUAAUGACGGUACCGUAAGAAUAAGCACCGGCUAACUACGUG